CCAGACUCCUACGGGAGGCAGCAGUGGGGGAUAUUGCACAAUGGGGGAAACCCUGAUGCAGCGACGCCGCGUGAGUGAAGAAGUAUUUCGGUAUGUAAAGCUCUAUCAGCAGGGAAGAAAAUGACAGUACCUGACCAAGAAGCCCCGGCUAACUACGUGCCAGCAGCCGCGGUAAUACGUAGGGGGCAAGCGUUAUCCGGAUUUACUGGGUGUAAAGGGAGCGUAGACGGUUAUGUAAGUCUGGAGUGAAAGCCCGGGGCCCAACCCCGGGACUGCUUUGGAAACUGUGUAACUGGAGUACAGGAGGGGCAGGCGGAAUUCCUGGUGUAGCGGUGAAAUGCGUAGAUAUUAGGAGGAACACCAGUGGCGAAGGCGGCUUACUGGACAGUGACUGACACUGAGGCUCGAAAGCGUGGGGAGCAAACAGGAUUAGAUACCCGAGUA
rnacentral:rRNA from 1 species